UACGUAGGGGGCAAGCGUUGUCCGGAAUCAUUGGGCGUAAAGCGCGCGUAGGCGGCCCGGUAAGUCCGCUGUAAAAGUCCAGGGCUCAACCCUGGAAUGCCGGUGGAUACUGUCGGGCUAGAGUCCGGAAGAGGCGAGUGGAAUUCCUGGUGUAGCGGUGGAAUGCGCAGAUAUCAGGAGGAACACCAAUUGCGAAGGCAGCUCGCUGGGACGUAACUGACGCUGAGACGCGAAAGCGUGGGGAGCAAACAGG
rnacentral:rRNA from 1 species